rnacentral:lncRNA from 1 species
GAACAGCAGGGCCGCAUGGUGUCAUAAUGAUCGCAGUGCCACUGGGAGAACAUUCUUUGAUUUAAGCUUUUGGAAAUCAAGAGAGGGAUUUCAUUCAGUGUCUCCCCCAUCCCUAUGUGGAAGUUUUUGAUUUAUUCCUUGAGUGACUGCUCUCUCUGGACGGGCUCUCCCUUCCCCUCUCCUGAAAGAAGGAAAAAAUAAGGAAAAGAGGAGCAAGGAAAAGAAUGAAUGCUGUCAGUGACUUGCUUUGGCUCGUGGUGUCCCUGGAGCCUUUAGCCCUCAGCGACUGAUGACAGUUCCCCUCCUGUGAGUGCGUUCAGCUCUGAGACCUUUCUUACAGCAGUCACUGGAGCAGUUUAUAUGGGCCAGCAGCUAGGUGAG